UCUCUGGACCCCUUUACUAUUUUCGUGUCACAUCCUGUCGUACCGAUUCAGGCAAGUUUUGCACUGCAGCACUACUAGUGAUGAAAAUUAGAAUUAAGAAAUAUGGACAGUAUUGCUGCAUUUGCUUCGAGAAUUAUUUAUUGAAUUGAACGUGGUGAUACUUCAUCAAUGAAGGAACAGUGAUUGAUGGAUAUUGAGGUGAAAAAUUCAUUAUAUAUUUGAUUAUUUACAUCUAUUUAAAGUGUGUAACUUCAGAGUUUGAGUGAAUCCUGAAUAGUCAUUUCGCGCGAAACGCGUAAUUACAGCGCUCCAACGGUGAAAAAGGCAAUAUAAUCCUACGAUUCUCAAACCUCGAAUCGAUAUUUCUCAUGAUCGAUUUUUAACCGGCAAACAUGGCGGAAAGGAGCACGCCUCAUCUGUAAAAAAGGAAGCGUUAUUCAGAAAAAUCACCAGAAAGAAUUAUCAUUAAAAAGUUCUCAGGUUAUUCCUUGAUUCCAGAGACAGGAUAGAACACAUAGACGCGACGAUUAUUAAUGGACAAUC